CUUUACACACAUACACAUAACAUCAUUGUUUACUUCCACAAUUUUUUUCAGAUUUUUUUGGAACCGAAAAUUUUGAUUUUUGAUUUUUUCUUCAAGAAAAGUCCUCCAUAGAGGCCAAGAGCUAAACGUCCGUUCUCAUUACCGGGGGCCUAUAAAUUUGCCCGCUCGCCGGGGGUCGAAGAGCAUCACACGUUCCCCGGACUCAAAGCAACGAGCGAGCCAGCACUUUCUGCUCAGAUCACCCGAUGGGUUCCAGGUCCUGCUCCUACGUCUUCUUGCUCGGCCUUUGCUCCCUGCUGCUAGUGGUGCUUUCAGGCCAGCGCACGCUAGCUCGAGACACUCCCGUGUCCACAGCAACGGCCUUGGCUCCAUUUGUUCAUGCGCCUGCCAAGGGCGACGCCGGCGGCCACCGUGCUGAUGUGGAUAAGCCUCGAGUAUCGGAUGAGAAGCCAACAAUAACCGGAAUAAUCUGGAGGCCCGUGCCUAAGAUCCACUGCCCGUCCAUCUUUUGCGGUACCAAGGCUGCCACUGCCACUGCCCCUGCGGCAACGGCACAUCCAUGACAAGAAGAAGAUAGAGUGGUGGUUCGCAAUGUAAUCAUAUGCAUGUUUUCCUACCCUGGUUUUAGUAAUUUAGAUAUAUAUGUAUGUGUUCCACGAGUGUUGCAGCGUGCCUGCAAAGGCCUCUCGAUGGAUACUAGUAGUGCUAUGGUAGCACGGUCGGGUUGUAGUUUCAUUCAUUGUAUCUGUCGAUCAUGCAAUUGGUUGCUGUCUCUCGGUCCUUUUUUUGUUGUUGUUGAGGAAUAACAACGUGUUCAUUUUUUUUUUUGAGGAA